rnacentral:lncRNA from 10 species
GAAAUAAUGAACUCCUCCAAGGCAAGAAAUCUGUUUUGAAGCUUCUCUGCGUAAGUAUUAACACUUAAUCUAUUAUUCGAUGCAUUUCAUUUCCCUUUGUAGGUAUCGGUUUUCUGAGCCUGCAGCCUUAGGCUAGUACCUUUUUUUUUUUUUUUAAGUUAGUUUCUGUUUUUUAUUUGAGCUCUGUUAGAAUCUUUAGAUCUAUCCAGUGGCUAUAGUUUACUCUGUGCUGCGCCUUUCUGCUUUCUCUCUGCAAAAAUUAUGGCUUUUUAGCUAUAUUUCCCCAAACAGAGGUGAGGUACUGCUCUUAUACAAAUACUUGAAGUUAUAAAUCCCACCUGCAUUAAAAGGAAAGUGAAGAUUUAUGACAAUGCCUUCCCAUUCUUCUCUUUCAACCCCAAAACCUCCACCAUUUUUGAAACAAGGCAAGUUCUUUAGGGCUGGAGGUCUUCAAUGGUAUACACCAUGAGGUAAAGAUCAGCUUUAAAAUAAAUACGUACCUCCAAGGGAAGAAAAUUGAACAGGCCAUUCAUUACUUUUCCUUCAGAAAGCUAAGGUACAACAGGAAUAAACUUAACUUGUGAAGGUUUUAUGAAAGGAUUGCCACCUCCUGCCUUGAUGAAAAGAUUAACCUGAUUUGGUGAAAUAUGCUGCUAUUUGCAGGCAGGUGCUGGCCUGAUUCACCAACUCUGUGUUAAUUUGAGCCUGCAGAGGUACCUUUGAUCAGCUCUCAGAGCCUCAGCAGUGGCUCAGGAAACAUCAAAACGCUGUAGAGCAGGCUCUAAUCUCAGCCUUCCUGUUUCUAUGCUUGCUCACUAGGUUCACACACAGCAGCCUGGUUUCCUGGAAGGGCAUUUUCCACAUUGUGCGUUAUGGAUGAUCAUCCCAGGCAUCAGGUGUGAAGCCCUGCAUCCACAUCCAGGGGCUAUCAAAUCUCUCUGCAAAAGGAGAAGCUGGACUCAGGCACGUUUACAGUGAUGUGUAUGCAGGUAUAUGUAAAUUAAUGCCUGCGUCUAAUGCUGGAAGUAACAACAAUUCAGUUCCGGGGAACUCUGUUGUCGUAAUGCAGCUGCUAAGUGCAACAUAUUCUGUCCAUGAAGUUGACACCUGGAUAACAGGUUUGGGUGAUAGUAACUGAGGCUUUGGCAGUGGAUUGAGAACUCUGAGCUAGAAACAUAAUGGCAGUACCCUUUACUAAGCCAGGGUGGUAGGUCAGAUAGCAUGGGUAUUUUUUCGAAAAGUUGAGCUCUUACCCUUUUUUUUUUUUGAGACAAGGUUUCACUUGUCCAGGCUGGACAAUCAUAGUUCACAGCAGCCUCACCAUCCCAGGCUCAAGUGAUCCUCCCACCUCAGCCUCCUGAGUAGCUGGGACUACAGGUGCACACCACCACACUUGGCUAAUUUAAAAAAAAAAAAAUGUACAGGCUGGGCGCAGUGGCUCACGCUUGUUAUCCCAGCACUUUGGGAGGCCAAGGCAUGGGGAUCACCUGAGGUCGGGAGUUCAAGACCAGCCUGACCAACAUAGAGAAACCCCAUCUCUACUAAAAAUACAAAAUCAGCCAGGUGUGGUGGUGCGUGCCUGUGAUCUCAG